AUUUCAAAAGAACUCCUUAGGAAUAAAACACAAAAUCAAGGAAGAAAGGCCGGUUAAUAAAGAUCAAAAUGAAAGAAUAAGAUCAAAAAGAUGUCACGAUUAUCCUAUCAAAGUUGGUCUCCAUGUUUCAAAAAUUCAAUUAAUAGAUUUUUUUUCUUUUUUUGAGGAUUAAAAGGGCCUAAUCUCUAUCUUUACCUUUGUUCCUACCCUACUC
rnacentral:lncRNA from 1 species